UUCUAGUUCCAAAACAGCAAGUUCACCUUUGAAUUUUACGACUGCAUCAUCCUUUAUUUGCAACUGCAGAACAUAAAAUCAAGUUAGCAUUGUGCAAAUUCGACAUAGCAACUACUCUACAUCCUUUCGAUACAUAAAAAAAAAAUCUCCAAUGCAUGAUAACCUCAGUUCACCCAACAUUUGUGUCACAGCUGACUAAUGUACUUUCAAUUGUAAUGCUUUUUCAUUGUUAUUAAAACGUCGUUUAAACGGCAAAACGUGAUUAGACUGUAGAACGUCUGGUCGUUUUAGCAAAAUCACGUAGAAAGUCCGUUUUUCACGUUUAAACGUCGCUUAAAUGUCGUUUUCUCGUAUUCGGACGUCCUGGGCCCGUUUAGGACGUUUUCUAUACACGUUGUUGGGCCUUUCCCAGGCCAAAAAAACCUAGGACACGACUUAUUUCUCCCGUCUCCCUGUGCUACUGCUAGCGCCUGCGAGCGCCUCCGCCUUCCUCUCUAGCUCUUGCUAGUGCCGCCGCCCGCCUCCAUCCUCUCCUCCAGGUCUCGCUAGCACCGCCCCGACUCCCUACAUCACCGUCGCCGACUCCUCUCCUCCAGCAGCGCCGCCGCCCGCCCGCAUCCAUCUCCAGUGUCGCAUGCUGCCCUGCACCUGUUCCAGUGUCCAACGCCGACGACCUCCAUCCUCUCCUCUGCCCCCCUCCUCCCUCCUCCAGCAGUCCAGCGCCGCCAAGCCAACCCUCCCUCCUCCAUCCUCAAGUAGUCGGUGUGGCGAUGCUCAGUCAUCAAGUUUCAGACUUUCAGUCAUCAAGUUUCAGAAAUUUCCAAAGUAAGCCCUUGCUCUUGCAACAAGCUGCUUCAAGAAUCGUGUAGACAUGUACAUCGAUCAAAGCAAAAGGCCUUCUGAAAUUACUGGUCUCAGUUAUUUUUCA